rnacentral:rRNA from 1 species
AAUCAACGCUGGCGGCGUGCCUAACACAUGCAAGUCGAACGCGGUUAUCCAGCAAUGGAUAACUGAGUGGCGAACGGGUGAGUAACACGUGGGUGACCUACCUUCGAGUGGGGAUAACGUCCCGAAAGGGACGCUAAUACCGCAUAACAUCCUGCCUUUGAACAGGCGGAGAUCAAAGGCCGGGGAUCGCAAGACCUGGCGUUUGAAGAGGGGCCCGCGUCCGAUUAGCUAGUUGGGAGGUAACGGCCCACCAAGCCAGCGAUCAGUAACUGGUGUGAGAGCACGACCAGUCACACGGGCACUGAGACACGGGCCCGACUCCUACGGGAGGCAGCAGUAAGGAAUAUUGGUCAAUGGACGC